rnacentral:rRNA from 1 species
UACGUAGGGUGCGAGCGUUGUCCGGAAUUAUUGGGCGUAAAGAGCUUGUAGGCGGUUUGUCGCGUCUGCCGUGAAAUUUCGGGGCUCAACCCCGAACUUGCGGUGGGUACGGGCAGACUAGAGUGUGGUAGGGGAGAUUGGAAUUCCUGGUGUAGCGGUGGAAUGCGCAGAUAUCAGGAGGAACACCGAUGGCGAAGGCAGAUCUCUGGGCCGUAACUGACGCUGAGGAGCGAAAGCAUGGGGAGCGAACAGG